rnacentral:lncRNA from 1 species
CCUGCUAGGAACUGAUCUUGUCUGAAUGUGAUCAAAUGACGCCCGCCUUGUCAUGUGCUAGGAUUGCCUCAAACCCUGCGGUUUCUUCAAAAUAGAGGGCAUCGUAGUAGGUUUCUUGCGUACGCCGCUCAGCAAGCCGUAGCAUAGUGUGAUCUUCACUCUGAAUCUAUCUCUACGUCAACAAUGGAGGGGGGGUGUACACUACUUCAUAAGACAGUCAAUGUACAACGUAGAAUUUCAUCAAGAAAAUGGUUUAACUGUAAGGAUAUUUUACUUGGCAAGACAAAGAUGUAACAAAAACUCUUAAUGAAAUUAACUGUUAAGAGGAAAAUAGAAAGAUGACGACACCAGAAGCCUUACCAGUGACUAUAUCAGUGCAAUUUGAUGGACAGAUGACCAGCGAUAUCAGCAAUCAUUUGUCUGAGGACAGAAAAAAGCUGAAUAAAUGUCUAGGGAUUAGGAUUUUCAAAAAAAUCUCGAUAGGCAACGAAAUUCCAAACGUCAUCGGCAACACAGAAAUAAGCGAGCAUUUAUGUCAACUGAGGACCAACUAAGUAGCUGAAGAGCUCCGCAUGAUGAAAUUAUUGAAGAAAAGAAUACGAUACAUAUACAUGCUGACAAGAAUCACGCCCUGCAGUUUCAUUGGAGAUGAAAAAGCCAAAAAGGCUUUCUAGAUGCCCAACUAUUCCAUCAAUAUGCGAAUGAUGAUAAAUUAUGGCCAAGAAUCGAAGCCUUUGAUUUCGAAACAAAGCACAACUUUUUAUUCGAUUAACUGCACGCGUCACAUUGCAGCCGCACAGAAUGCAGAACUGCACCACUAUGUCCUAAUUCCCCCAAGACAAAAUAUCACAUUGCGAGCCCCUCAAAACCACAAUAAAAAGGUUACAUCCCCAUCGAAAGCAGUAGUAGGCCUUGACGACGGUGAUUGUCGUACCACACCCACACGAAACUAGGACUAGCAGAACAGCGAGCCCCGCGUCCGCAGGCAGGGAAGAACUAAGAAUAGGCCAGCCGGCUCCUGCCGUCCCGAUGAUUCAUAAAGAUAAAACCAAGAGGGGAUCAGGGGGGUCAUAGCGGUUCGUGGAGAAAGAUUAAUAAUGAAAUUUUCUUAAGAAAUACAGAAAUAAAGUGUAACGAUGGAGAGAGGAUACAAUAUAUCGAAAAACUGAAAGUAACGACUCACUCGAGCGACAAAGAAUGAGCGACUAAGAGGCGAAGAAUCCCGCAUCUAAAGACACUUCAGACCAGUAAUUCUGACAAUAUUCAGAAGGUGAGUGACGCCGUCUCUGGUGGCGGCGGCUGUGGCACCUGAUGGCUGUCGCCAAUCGGCCCGGAACACCGAAAUAUACCCCACCAUGGAUUCAAAGCAAACAUAGUAAUGACCCAGAACCAGUAGCGAAGAAUCAUAAGCGGAGGAAAUAUCGAAGCAAAUGGAGGGGUCGGGGGUGGCGGGGGGAGGGGGAAUUCACGAACAAACCAUUCCAUGACGACCUCCAACCCGUCUGCUCCGGCGUUUACGGCAGCGGCGGAGAGGGAGAAGACUACAGAAUGGGUCUCUUCGAGAUGGG